rnacentral:lncRNA from 1 species
GGGGGGAGGUAGAUGCUGAGGUGGAAGGACAAGGUGUAGGAGCACACAGGAGACUUUAACCAGACCAGUGAUAUUUUCCUUCUCAAACUUGGCAGGGAAGCCUCUCUGUGGAAAUGUUCCCAAUGACUUUUGAGCCCCUGGGAUAGAGUACUGCUCUUUUUUGGAAAGGAGCAAUGUGUCAAGGCUGAGGACGCUAGGAAGCUCGUAUGCUGCUGAAUUUGCCACUGUGGCAGAGAGGGCAGGUCUCACGGCGAUGACAUUUCAGCAGACGCUUGGAGGUAAUGGAAUCACUCCAAUAUCUUGAGGGCAGGAGGGCAAGAGCCAGUUCCAACCACGUGGCUGCAAGCAACAAACAUCCUGGAGAUGACGAAACGGAAGAAAAAAGCUGGGUAGCCUCAGGGAGGAUCAGUGCUUCCCCACCGGGUCACCUAUCCCCUGAGGACACUCAUCUUACCCACUACAUUUCAGAUGUCUUUGUUACAUAGUAUCGUCUGAACUGUAACCAAUAAAUGAUUUUGGACAAC